CCUGCCCCUAGAGGUGUUGUAGGUGUGACUGCCAUGUCACAUGUGUGUCAGUAGGUGGCAGAAAGGAGAGAGGCUAUGCCUAUGCUCAGUAUUCUGACCCUUGAACAUCUGAAUUAGCAGCCUAACAUU